rnacentral:misc_RNA from 1 species
GUAGACUGCGAAGCAUCUGCAAAAUUACAAAAGAUCACUUCUCACAUUCUCCUCAAUCAGAUCCAAUGGUAACAUAAAUAAUCCCAGCUAAUUAAGAAGCAAGCAACGUACUAGGAAUAUAGAUUCCUUUGACUACACUAUAAAUUCAAUGAAAUAAUGGUAUGCCCAAUACACAGGCAUUCUUUUCUGAAGUAGCUGCUAAACCCCUGGCCUCUUUUGCCUAGAUGUUGAAUUCGAAACUAUGCACAACCCAAGGAAGCUUUAUGUAAAAUCAAACUUCCCUAUAUUCGUGAUUGUUCGCCUUUAAAAUCUGCAAAAGAAUCAUCAAGAAGAUGCCCUGAAUUCAAUUUAUAAUAUAUUUAUCCCUUAAUACAAUUUGUUGAAUCCAGAAGGCGGCGAAGAUUCACCCAAUAUUGGGAAGAAAACCUCCCUUUCAAGUGUCAUGACCUUGACUAAUGAUACCCAGACAAAAGGUGCACAGCAGAAAGCGUAGCAGAAGACUGCUAAAGCUCUUAUAACCCCAUCAGGGUACCAAGGACAUGCCAUGACCAGAAGUGCUCCAAACAUCCCUAACCAUGGAGUCAAGACAUGCAACAAUGGCAGCGUAAACGUGUUGAUCGCUACAGAGCAAAGCGCGAAUGAGCCAAGCAAGUAUACUGCCCAACCUACAACUGGGUGAAUUGUACAAGGAAUAAUAAAGAAGGGGAGUACAUAGGCUACUAGGAUUGACCAUAUCGCUAGCAAUUUCAAACCAGCAUGUACCAAGGAGAUGUUCUUGUCUGUUCGCCGGUAGCAAAGCUUGGAGAGAUUUGGUCGAGCUAGGCGAGUCACGGCAAUUAUUCCUAGGUAUAAUAGAGUCUGAAUAAAUACCAUGGGUAUCUCUGCUCCGUAUCCGAGAUUUUGACGGCGUUGUUCAUGCCAUUGAAGGCCUAGUGGCAGAACAGGCCAUGACCACCAGUACCAUGGUUUCAACCAUGGUGCACCUGGGAAAGUAAUUACGCUAUUAGGCCCGCAGGGUACAUUCCACCGGAGUCUGAGAUAAUAAUAAGUGGCAUCCAUUUGGUAGCCUAAAGGAAGUCUGUAAGAUCCUUCAAGUUUAGUGCCAUUAGGAGGAGGAUAGAACAUCGGCUUGUCAAGCAGGUCCGGAAAGUAGCCACCAAUAAAACCCUGGUCUGCACCAUCAGGGUUAUCUUGUCCGACAUCCAACUGAUGAAGCAUGUCCUUAAACACCACCGUUGAUGGCUGUAACACGAAGAGCCCAGUAUGGAAAAUGCAGGGGUUGAUGAAGACUGCACAGAAUUGUCCACAUUGGAACAACUCGUCAGUGUUUUGGAGGAAGAGGUUAUCAGCAUCAAGCAUAACCACUCUGUCAUAGUCCACCAGACUCCACGCAUAGAGUUUAUUCAGCGUUAACUUAAAUCUUCUGUCAAAAUUGUCUUGGUUCUUGUACGGAUUAUUCACAUUUUCAACUCGUAUCACCUUCGCUCCGUCUUCCUGUUCCAGGGCAUGAACCCAACGGAGGGGGACGUCGACGGCGGCAAUGACGACGAGAUCAGCGUCCACGUGGAGUCUAGCAAGGGAUCUGAUCAUGACACGUAUAGCUACGUAGAACUCGUAGUCCCUUGGAGUCCCCAUGUACAUCAUCGUUGCAUAGGCGUUUCUGUGACGCUGUCGCUGGUCCUGCUGUUGUUCUUGCUGCUGGUGCUGCGUCCUGAUCUCUCCAUACGCCGUCGUUUUAUAAACAGCCAAAAUGAAUAGUAGCAGAAGCCUCAACAACCAAGGGUUUAUCUUCCUAUCUCUGAAACUCCAAGCCAUUGGUUUUCCUUUGUGGGUUUUAAACAUAAAAAAACAAGUAAUGGACACUUAAAGGCAAUAUCUUCGUCUUUAAUGAGAUAAGUAUUGAAUAUAAAUAUCUACGUAAUCUCUCUCUGGGUUGGUCUUAGCUUUUUGCUUUUAAGGCAAUGGGUAUUGGAAAAUCCAUUCAUAUAUAUAAUGGAAGAAGGAGAGAGAGAGAAGGGUGAGCUUGGAAAAUGGAAAGCAAACGGAAGCACAGGAGGAAAGCACUUGUAAAGAAGAGGUUAUGUAGCAUAAGAGACAAUUCGUUGGCUUCUUUAAUCGCCUCCACGAAGAUGAGGACUUUAACAAAGGGUUGUAACUAUGGAGAUUAAUAUUU